UACGGGGGGGGCAAGCGUUGUUCGGAAUUACUGGGCGUAAAGGGUUCGUAGGUGGCCAACUAAGUCAGACGUGAAAUCCCUCAGCUUAACUGGGGAACUGCGUCUGAUACUGGAAGGCUCGAGUUCGGGAGAGGAAUGUGGAAUUCCAGGUGUAGCGGUGAAAUGCGUAGAUAUCUGGAGGAACACCGGUGGCGAAGGCGGCAUCCUGGACCGAAACUGACGCUGAGGCGCGAAAGCCAGGGGAGCAAACGGG
rnacentral:rRNA from 1 species